UAAAAUUUGGAUGAACUUCCAGAAGAUUAUUUCAAAAUAUCAUUUUUAUCAUCUUAUCACUGGUUUCUUGCCAAUUCUUCCUUGAUAAUGAAACAAGGUUAAAACUGAUUUUUGAAGCACAUGUGGACUCUCAUAUGGAGUCCUGAAAGAUGGGUGAGAAUGAGUUUUCAGGACUUUAUUUUAGAGAUUUCUUAACUGUAGUACUUUGGCCACCUCAUGUGAAGAGUUGACUCAUUGGAAAAGACUCUGAUGCUGGGAGGGAUUGGGGGCAGGAGGAGAAGGGGAUGACAGAGGAUGAGAUGGCUGGAUGGCAUCACUGACUCAAUGGAGUCGACAGUUAUGGUGACCACGAAGGGACCCAGAGUGGACUUCCUUUCUUCGACUGGACUCCACGAGGAACCAGAGCUUUGGUACCAGCAGUGGCCCCUUGUGCCCAUCCGCAUCCUUGGGGAGUGCUGACGAAUUUGAGGAACAGGAGAAGGAGGCCAAGGCCCAGGAAAAGAGAGAAAGAAAGAGACAAGGCAUGCCCAGAUGCUGGCCGCCCUCCAGAGAAGCCCGAUGGCAAACCCCGAGUCCUUGAGGGACAAGACACGAG
ensembl:lncRNA